GAUGAACGCUAGCGGCAGGCUUAACACAUGCAAGUCGAGGGGCAUCGGGAGGGAAGUUUGCUUUCCUUGCCGGCGACCGGCGCACGGGUGAGUAACACGUAUGCAACCUGCCCUCUUCAGGGGGACAACCUUCCGAAAGGGAGGCUAAUCCCGCGUAUAUCGGUUUCGGGCAUCCGAGAUCGAGGAAAGAUUCAUCGGAAGAGGAUGGGCAUGCGGCGCAUUAGCUAGACGGCGGGGUAACGGCCCACCGUGGCGACGAUGCGUAGGGGUUCUGAGAGGAAGGUCCCCCACACUGGUACUGAGACACGGACCAGACUCCUACGGGAGGCAGCAGUGAGGAAUAUUGGUCAAUGGGAGAGAUCCUGAACCAGCCAAGCCGCGUGAGGGAAGACGGCCCUAUGGGUUGUAAACCUCUUUUGUCGGAGAACAAAACCCGGGACGUGUCCCGGACUGCGUGUAUCCGAAGAAAAAGCAUCGGCUAACUCCGUGCCAGCAGCCGCGGUAAUACGGAGGAUGCGAGCGUUAUCCGGAUUUAUUGGGUUUAAAGGGUGCGUAGGCGGUCCGUUAAGUCAGCGGUAAAAUUGCGGGGCUCAACCCCGUCGAGCCGUUGAAACUGGCAGACUUGAGUUGGCGAGAAGUACGCGGAAUGCGCGGUGUAGCGGUGAAAUGCAUAGAUAUCGCGCAGAACUCCGAUUGCGAAGGCAGCGUACCGGCGCCAGACUGACGCUGAGGCACGAAAGCGUGGGGAUCGAACAGGAUUAGAUACCCUGGUAGUCCACGCAGUAAACGAUGAAUGCUGGUUGUCCGGGUCGAAUGAGAUCUGGGCGGCGAAGCGAAAGCGAUAAGCAUUCCACCUGGGGAGUACGCCGGCAACGGUGAAACUCAAAGGAAUUGACGGGGGCCCGCACAAGCGGAGGAACAUGUGGUUUAAUUCGAUGAUACGCGAGGAACCUUACCCGGGCUCAAACGGGAGUGGAAUGGACCAGAGACGGUUCAGCCUACGGGCCGCUUCCGAGGUGCUGCAUGGUUGUCGUCAGCUCGUGCCGUGAGGUGUCGGCUUAAGUGCCAUAACGAGCGCAACCCCCGCCGGCAGUUGCUAACGGGCAAUGCCGAGGACUCUGCCGGGACUGCCGCCGCAAGGCGUGAGGAAGGCGGGGAUGACGUCAAAUCAGCACGGCCCUUACGUCCGGGGCGACACACGUGUUACAAUGGGCGGUACAGCGGGAAGCCAGGCGGCGACGCCGAGCGGAACCCGAAAGCCGUUCUCAGUUCGGAUCGGAGUCUGCAACCCGACUCCGUGAAGCUGGAUUCGCUAGUAAUCGCGCAUCAGCCAUGGCGCGGUGAAUACGUUCCCGGGCCUUGUACACACCGCCCGUCAAGCCAUGGGAGCCGGGGGUGCUUGAAGUGCGUCGCCGCGAGGCGCGCCCUAGAGCAAAACCGGUGACUGGGGCUAAGUCGUAACAAGGUAGCCGUACCGGAAGGUGCGGCUGGAACACCUCCUUUCUGGAGACCUAUAGCGUCUGAAACGCAAGUUUGUCUUGUGGGAAAAAUAUAAGGAUAAGAAGUCUGAACGCUUCUUAUCUUACUAUCAGAAUAGGACAAUGACAAGGCUGGAAGCGAGAGUCGAUGAAAAAGUCGGCUCAGCGAGAAGACAAGAGUAGAAACACAACAAAAAGUUUCACGAGCAAAUCGAAAGGCGACAAUGUCGAACUUAGUUUCGUACAUAAAUAUAUGCCGCAAGGCAUAAAAGAAAUAACGGAACGAACAAGGGCGCAUGGGGGAUGCCUUGGCUCUCGGAGGCGAAGAAGGACGUGACAAGCUGCGAAAAGCUGCGGCGAGUGGCAAAUACACCGUGACCCGCAGAUAUCCGAAUGGGGCAACCCGUAGGGAGCGAUCCCUACAUCAGUCGGAACGACUGAGGCGAACGUGGGGAACUGAAACAUCUUAGUACCCGCAGGAAGAGAAAGUAACAACGAUUCUCCCAGUAGCGGCGAGCGAACGGGGAAGAGCCCAAACCGGCGGCGUUUCGGCGCGUGCCGGGGUUAUAGGACCGCUCAAAGGCGCAUGCGAGCGUAGCGGAAGGAGAUGGAAUGCUCCCCCGCAGACGGUGAGAGGCCGGUACGCGAAACGCAGACAUGCCAGGAGCGGCACCUGAGUAGGGCGGGACACGAGAAAUCCCGUCUGAAUUAUCGGGGACCAUCCCGAAAGGCUAAAUACUACCGAGAGACCGAUAGCGAACC
rnacentral:rRNA from 1 species